AUUUUUGUAUACAUUGGUUAUAGAUGGUGCAGCCUACUAUCUUACGGAAGAGACAUUCAUUGAAAGGGUUGAAUCUCUUACCUGUCAUUAAGAAGGUCAGAGGAGGAAGACCAGAGGGUCUGAAAGAAUUUGCGCGCAUUUCUAAGGAAAAAAAGACAGACGUCUUAGAGUUGGAUGAGAUAGAGAAUAUAGUCAACUCAUUAACAGGGGAAAACAUGAUUGAGCUUUUGGAACUAGCUGGAAGAGAUAUUGAUGUUAACGAGGCAAGAUUGUUAUUGCAUUGCUUGAUAAUUUUUGCAAAUGAAGUGGGACAACCAAGAGGCCAGGCAUUAGAUGAUUAAACGGACCCUAGCACUAGUGGAUCCACAGGGGGAAGCAGUACACCAGUACCUUUAGAAACUGCAGGACCUUCAAAAAAAAAGGAAGCAUGAUGUUGAUACAACCUUGGAGGAGAGGGUUUUGUCUUUGGAGAAAACGUCAAAGGGGGAGAUGGUCCAGGAGCUUAAAGAGAAGGUGAGGACACUAUGCCUACAGGAUGAUCCAAGCAAUGCUUUAAUUCUGCUGACUCUUGAUGAACUGUCUAAAGCGGCUAGGAAAUUAAACCAUGAGGAGGCUGACAUGUUUGAAGAAUUGUACAGAAAAUGAAGUUUGCUCCAGAAGUUUUAUCCUUCAUGGAGGUUCCAUCUUGGGAGUUAAAUAGUGGUUUCAAUCCCAUGAAUAUGAAUAUAAGUGACCAACCAGCAUGGAUUACACUUGAAGGGAGAAGUGCUUCGCCUGCAACCCAUUCCCCUCAAACAGAGGAAGUAAUUAAUGGCGAUUUACAUUUUGAUAUUAACACUUUACCAAUAAGGGAUCCAAGUAAAUUCAUUUCUGGUCAGAUUCAUUCAUUUGUACCGGAAUGGGAGUGUAUUAUGGAUAAGAUUUCAUAAAAAAAAACAACGAUGUUUUAAAAUGGAUAAAGAAUGGUGUC
rnacentral:misc_RNA from 1 species